AGGGAAAGAGCUCAAAAUGAAGAGCAACAGCAGCAGGUAUUUGAAACAAAUUUAUAUCAAGGGCCUAGUCAAAAUGAUGAUGUUGAUAUGGAUGAUGACACUAUUCCCGUGGUAGUUAAGCCAGGACACAUUCGCUUUGAGCCAGUUGGAAAAGUUGUUACUGAUCAGGCUGAGCAGCAAAAGCAAAACCAUUUCCCUAAGG
rnacentral:misc_RNA from 1 species